AGGAAUAUUGGUCAAUGGGCGCGAGUCUGAACCAGCCAAGUAGCGUGAAGGAUGAAGGUCCUACGGAUUGUAAACUUCUUUUAUAAGGGAAUAAAGUCACCCACGUGUGGGUGUUUGUAUGUACCUUAUGAAUAAGCAUCGGCUAACUCCGUGCCAGCAGCCGCGGUAAUACGGAGGAUGCGAGCGUUAUCCGGAUUUAUUGGGUUUAAAGGGAGCGUAGACGGGUCGUUAAGUCAGCUGUGAAAGUUUGGGGCUCAACCUUAAAAUUGCAGUUGAUACUGGCGUCCUUGAGUACGGUUGAGGCAGGCGGAAUUCGUGGUGUAGCGGUGAAAUGCUUAGAUAUCACGAAGAACCCCGAUUGCGAAGGCAGCCUGCUAAACCGCCACUGACGUUGAGGCUCGAAAGUGUGGGUAUCAAACAGGAUUAGAUACCCUGGUAGUCCACACGGUAAACGAUGGAUACUCGCUGUUGGCGAUAGACUGUCAGCGGCUUAGCGAAAGCGUUAAGUAUCCCACCUGGGGAGUACGCCGGCAACGGUGAAACUCAAAGGAAUUGACGGGGGCCCGCACAAGCGGAGGAACAUGUGGUUUAAUUCGAUGAUACGCGAGGAACCUUACCCGGGCUUGAAUUGCAGACGAAUUGCUUGGAAACAGGCAAGCCGCAAGGCGUCUGUGAAGGUGCUGCAUGGUUGUCGUCAGCUCGUGCCGUGAGGUGUCGGCUUAAGUGCCAUAACGAGCGCAACCCUCGUGUCCAGUUACUAGCAGGUUAUGCUGAGGACUCUGGACAGACUGCCAUCGUAAGAUGUGAGGAAGGUGGGGAUGACGUCAAAUCAGCACGGCCCUUACGUCCGGGGCUACACACGUGUUACAAUGGGGGGUACAGCAGGCAGCUACCGGGCGACCGGAUGCCAAUCCCGAAAGCCUCUCUCAGUUCGGACUGGAGUCUGCAACCCGACUCCACGAAGCUGGAUUCGCUAGUAAUCGCGCAUCAGCCACGGCGCGGUGAAUACGUUCCCG
rnacentral:rRNA from 1 species